GUUGACCUCGGAUCAGGUAGGAAUACCCGCUGAAC
rnacentral:rRNA from 13 species